rnacentral:rRNA from 1 species
AUUGAACGCUGGCGGCAGGCCUAACACAUGCAAGUCGAACGAGUGGCGGACGGGUGAGUAAUGUCUGGGAAACUGACUGAUGGAGGGGGAUAACGACUGGAAACGGUAGCUAAUACCGCAUACCAUCGGAUGUGCCAAGAUGGGAUUAGCUAGUAGGGGGGGUAACGGCUCCCCUAGGCGACGAUCCCUAGCUGGUCUGAGAGGAUGACCAGCCACACGGGAACUGAGACACGGUCCAGAGUCCUACGGGAGGCAGAAUUGGGGAAUAUUGCACAAUGGGCGCAAGCCUGAUGCAGCCAUGCGGCGUGUAUGAAGAAGGCCUUCGGGUUUUAAAGCACUUUCAGCGGUGAGGCGUUACCCGCAGAAGAAGCACCGGCUAACUCCGUGCCAGCAGCCGCGGUAAUAC